rnacentral:rRNA from 1 species
CUUUUUAGUUUUUUUGAAAUUUAAAUGUUAUUAGUAUUAUUUAAUUUAAAUUUUAUGUUAAUUUAAUAAAAUAUUAUUUUUUGUAGUAUAAAAUAAAAUAAUUUAGGUGAAUUAAAGAUUAAAGUACAUUUAUGGAAAAGUAAAAAUGAAAUAAAGAUAAAUUAAUAUUUGUACCUUUUGUAUCAGGGUUUAAUAAAAAUUGUUUGUAUAAUUUAUUCUCGAAUAGCUAAGAUUUAAUUUAUUAUAAUUAAAAGUGUGGAAAAAUUUUAAUUAAUAAUUAAUUGGUAAUGAAAAGUUAGUCGGUUAGUUAGGGUUCUAGUUUUUAAAUAAAUUAAUUUAAUUAAUUUUUUUGUAUAAUAUUAAUUUGUAAUUAAAUUAGUAUACUAAAAGUAAAAUAAUAAAGAGUUUAUUUUUUAUUAAUUUUAUAUUUUGUUUUCAUGAAUUAUUCUAGAUUUAAUAUUGAUAAUGAUUAAUAGUUUUUUAUAAAAAAAGUUAGUGUGAUUAAUAUUUAUAUUUUAAUUAAAUUUAUAUUUAAAUAUUUUUUUGUAUAGUUAAAAAUAAGUAAUAAUAUUAAAAUUAGUAAAUUUUUAAAAUUUUAAUAUAGGAACUUGGCAAAAAAAGUUUUUGCCUGUUUAUCAAAAACAUGUCUUUUUGAUUUUAUAAAAAGUCCAAUCUGCUCACUGAAUUUUAAAGAGCCGCAGUAUUUUAACUGUGCAAAGGUAGCAUAAUAAUUAGUUUUUUAAUUGAAAGCUGGAAUGAAAGAUUAGACAAGAAAUUAACUUUCUUUAUUAUAAGAAUUGAAUUUAAAAUUUGAGUUAAAAUUCUUAAAUGGUGUUAAAAGACGAGAAGACCCUAUAGAUUUUUAUUUUAAUUUGAAUAAAGUAUAAUUUUAUAUUUAAAAUAAAAUUUAAUUGGGGUGAUUUUGUAAUAAAAAAAACUUAAUUUUAUAAAAACAUUAAUAUUUGGAUUUUUUGAUCUAAAAUUUUUAAUUAAAAGAUUAAAUUACCUUAGGGAUAACAGCGUAAUUUUAUUUAAGAGUUCAUAUCUAUAAUAAAGUUUGCGACCUCGAUGUUGAAUUAAGAAAUAUAUAGGAGUAGAAAUUUAUAGUUAUUAGUCUGUUCGACUAUUAAAUUCUUACAUGAUUUGAGUUCAGACCGGCGUGAGCCAGGUCAGUUUCUAUCUUUAAUUUUAUUUUAUAAAUAAGUACGAAAGGACCAUUUAUAAAUAAAAAUUAUUUUUUUUUU